rnacentral:tRNA from 1 species
AUUUCUGUAGCGCAAUGGAAAGCGCGUUGGACUUUAAACUUCAAAGGUCGUGGGUUCGAAUCCCACCUGGGAUG